UUAGUAAGUUGGCCCUAAGUUAGGAAGAUGAUUCAGGUUUAUCUGCGUGGGUCCAGAUAAAAGAGGGGUAGAAGAGAAAAGUAGAUAGAUGACAGGAUGAGGACAACCUAGUCCAACACUGCUAUGUGAGCUUUGACGAUUCAGGAAGAGGGUACACGCAAGGAAUACAGGCAGCCUCUCGACUCUGAAAGAGCAUAGCAAUGGAUUCUUCCUUGGAGACUCCAGAAGACUCUCCGUAUCCGAACAUCCCUCCCCUGUCAUCUCUGUUUUGCCUGAAAUGUUAUUUCUCCUGCUUGCUUUUCUGCCCAUUCCACACAAACUGACCUUCAUUAACCGACCACCACCUCACAGUCUGGAAGUCCACCUUAGUCUUAAUUGUGUGCUAUUCUGUUGUUCGAUUGUUACUCAGAAUCAUUUCAGAUUUCAUGAAGGUUGAUUGGACUUGAUCCAUCAUUUUAUGGAAAAUUAAUUAUUUCAAAUACAUGCACCACUUUAUGCAACCUGCCUGAUUUGCAUUGAAGAAAAUUCAGCAGAAGUAAUUGAGGCACAAGCAAAUACUGGCACUGACUGAACUCAAUUUUCAUUCCAAAUUUCUGCAAAAUCCCAAGGCACAACAAUAUCAGAUGCAAGGGGGAAAACAAACAAAAGCAGUGUGAAAAGGGAACAUGAAGAGAGAAUAUUACAAGAAUCAGAGAACAAAGGGAUCGCAAAACUAUUUCAGUGCCUAGAUGAGCAGUGAGGGCUUCGCUCAGGCAAGGUGGGAGAAGAUAUCAUAUGGCAUCCUGACAACUGAUGUCUUCAUUUAAAUGUAAGAAUUUACAUUCUAAUUAGAAAGAAUUUACAUCUUAAUCAGAGCAGCUGUAUUAUCUUGUUACUGUUUUUUCAAAGGUAAUGAACUACAGUACUGCUGUGCCUUUUCAACCAGAAACUAAACAGACAGCAUCUAGUGUUAUUUUAUAGCUUACCUGCUGUAAGCUGUUAUUAAUAUUUUCGAAGAUUAAAUCCUAACUAGAAUCUUUAAAAAAAUGAAAACGUAUUUGACAUCCCUAGAAGAUUAAAUCCUAACUAGAAUCUUUAAAAAAAUGAAAAUGUAUUUGACAUCACUAGAAUAGUGCAAGGUUUGAUUUGAAGUAUUUAAACAAACCCCAUUCCAUCUUCUACAUUAAAUGUACUUAUUUAUCAAGUUAAUAGCAGCCUCUUCU